rnacentral:tRNA from 1 species
GCGUAGUGGUUAACGCGCCCCAACUAGAGAUCGGGGAGUCGUGAGUUCGAUUCUCAC